ensembl:snRNA U6 U6 spliceosomal RNA
GUGCUCACUUUGGCAGUACAUAUACUAAAAAAUGGAACAAUACAGCGAAGAUUAGCAUGGCCCCUGUGCAAGAUGACACGCAAAUUCGUGAAGCGUUCCAUAGAAAA